UCCAGUUGAGUCCAAUCCCAGCUUCCAUGGACCCUGACUUACCAAUUGGCUGUCCAACUGGAGUGCAAGGAGCCAGUUGGACUUUCCAAUUGGUUUUAAAAUUUCCAACUGUAGAGCCAGUUGGAAUUAAAAAUCCAGUUGGCUUUCGUAUUGGUCCAGUUGAGUCCCAUUGGAACCAAUUCAGAUUUCCAAUUGGACCCAUCCUUUCUUUUUUUUUUUUGUUUGACUGGGUAGCUGGCUCUGUAAAACCGCAUACAUCAUGUUGGCGCGGGUAUCUCUUGGUUCCAUGUCUGUUAUUUUUAGAGGUGCUUGCAGACACAUGGACUGGAGGUGACGAAUACAGCGCCUGUCCUGUGAGUCCCCCAUUUGCAGCUACAAUCACAUUUCAGGUAAACGAAAACCGUUAGCUUUUCAGAUCUGACUGUGCUGUUGUUCAAUAUCGCUGGAUUUCUAUGUACUCGCUAAUCUGACGCUAGCGUCAGUUACAGUUGGAAUGUUUGAACUGCAUGGUAUUUAUGUAAUUGAUGCCAUUGAAAUGCAGGCUGUAGAAUGAUUAUUUUUCAGAUUCCGUAACACUAUUUCCUUUUUAGCGUGUGCGCAUUUUGAUUUGCAGACCAGAAUGUGUCACGUCACGGUCUCUUUACGUCGACUUCAGAAAGUCCCAGAAUGCUUAGCACUGUUUCAAACAUUGGCAACUUGCAUUACAUCGCGGUAUGCGAAGGUCUGCAAACUACUUCAGUUCCGCGUCAUUCAGCCUAUGAUCCAUGCUGCGUGAGUCAGCAAAAAUAAAGCAUGGACUACUAUCCCUUCCCCAAUGCAAGGAGUGCUGGGAUAAACUGAUGUCGCCCAUUCUGUAAUUUUGCCAUGCUGUUAUGCAAGUGUAUAGAAAAAUGUUUUGUCUUCGAAUUUUCAGUCGGGAGUCAAAUGGGUUCUGCACAAGCAAAAUAUGAUCCCACAUGUAUGGAUUCGUAUGUGUGGAUUCGUGGAUUCCAACAUGUAUGGAUUCGGUGUCGAUAUGUGGAUCGACAUGUAUGGAUUCGGAGUAUGGAUACGUGGUGUGGUGUACAUUGUGUCUUGGAAACGUUCCUUCUUGCUACCCACAGUCGUCUACCACUCCACACGUGAGUAAAGUACUUGUUGCCUUUGGAGCAAUCAAGAUCAGUGCAUGGACCCGAAAACAGAGGCAUUGCUUGCAGCUAACAGUGAUACAAGAACUGCGAUUUGUUGGUAUGUCAUUGUGCAGAGAGGGGAUGUGCUCAUGAUGUCUGGUAACUUGUCUUGGCAUGUUUGCAACUCUAGUCAAUGUUUACCCUGUAUGUUAAUAGAAAUAAACCUUGUACCAACAUC